GAUGAACGCUGGCGGCGUGCCUAAUACAUGCAAGUCGAGCGAACAGACGAGGAGCUUGCUCCUCUGACGUUAGCGGCGGACGGGUGAGUAACACGUGGAUAACCUACCUAUAGGACUGGGAUAACUUCGGGAAACCGGAGCUAAUACCGGAUAAUAUAUUGAACCGCAUGGUUCAAUAGUGAAAGACGGUUUUGCUGUCACUUAUAGAUGGAUCCGCGCCGCAUUAGCUAGUUGGUAAGGUAACGGCUUACUAAGGCAACGAUGCGUAGCCGACCUGAGAGGGUGAUCGGCCACACUGGAACUGGGACACGGUCCAGACUCCUACGGGAGACAGCAGUAGGGAAUCUUCCACAAUGGGCGAAAGCCUGACGGAGCAACGCCGCGUGAGUGAUGAAGGUCUUCGGAUCGUAAAACUCUGUUAUUAGGGAAGAACAAAUGUGUAAGUAACUAUGCACGUCUUGACGGUACCUAAUCAGAAAGCCACGGCUAACUACGUG
rnacentral:rRNA from 1 species